AAUAGAUACCCCGGUAGUCCUUGCCGUAAACGUUGUAUACUUGAUGUAUCUGGGCUCAACCCUGGAUGUGUCGAAGCUAACGCGAUAAGUAUACCGCCUGGGGAGUACGCUCGCAAGGGUGAAACUCAAAAGAAUUGACGGGGGCCCGCACAAGCAGUGGAGCAUGUGGUUUAAUUCGAUGCAACGCGAAGAACCUUACCCAGAUUUGAAAUACAGAGUGAUUAUGCAGAAAUGCAUAAGCCCGCAAGGGACUCUGAACAGGUGCUGCAUGGCUGUCGUCAGCUCGUGCCGUGAGGUGUUGGGUUAAGUCCCGCAACGAGCGCAACCCUUAUCAUUAGUUGCCAACACGUAAAGGUGGGGAAUCUAGUGAGACUGCCUAGGUUAACUAGGAGGAAGGUGAGGAUGACGUCAAGUCCGCAUGGCCUUUAUAUCUGGGGCUACACACGUGCUACAAUGGUCGGUACAGAAGGCAGCAAGACCGCAAGGUGGAGCAAAUCCCAAAAGCCGACCCCAGUUCAGAUU
rnacentral:rRNA from 1 species